AGAGUUUGAUCCUGGCUCAGAUUGAACGCUGGCGGCAGGCUUAACACAUGCAAGUCGAGCGGAGAUGAGGUGCUUGCACCUUAUCUUAGCGGCGGACGGGUGAGUAAUGCUUAGGAAUCUGCCUAUUAGUGGGGGACAACAUUCCGAAAGGAAUGCUAAUACCGCAUACGUCUACGGGAGAAAGCAGGGGAUCUUCGGACCUUGCGCUAAUAGAUGAGCCUAAGUCGGAUUAGCUAGUUGGUGGGGUAAAGGCCUACCAAGGCGACGAUCUGUAGCGGGUCUGAGAGGAUGAUCCGCCACACUGGGACCGAGACACGGCCCAGACUCCUACGGGAGGCAGCAGUGGGGAAUAUUGGACAAUGGGGGGAACCCUGAUCCAGCCAUGCCGCGUGUGUGAAGAAGGCCUUAUGGUUGUAAAGCACUUUGAGCGAGGAGGAGGCUACUGAGACUAAUACUCUUGGAUAGUGGACGUUACUCGCAGAAUAAGCACCGGCUAACUCUGUGCCAGCAGCCGCGGUAAUACAGAGGGUGCGAGCGUUAAUCGGAUUUACUGGGCGUAAAGCGUGCGUAGGCGGCUUUUUAAGUCGGAUGUGAAAUCCCCGAGCUUAACUUGGGAAUUGCAUUCGAUACUGGGAAGCUAGAGUAUGGGAGAGGAUGGUAGAAUUCCAGGUGUAGCGGUGAAAUGCGUAGAGAUCUGGAGGAAUACCGAUGGCGAAGGCAGCCAUCUGGCCUAAUACUGACGCUGAGGUACGAAAGCAUGGGGAGCAAACAGGAUUAGAUACCCUGGUAGUCCAUGCCGUAAACGAUGUCUACUAGCCGUUGGGGCCUUUGAGGCUUUAGUGGCGCAGCUAACGCGAUAAGUAGACCGCCUGGGGAGUACGGUCGCAAGACUAAAACUCAAAUGAAUUGACGG
rnacentral:rRNA from 1 species